GACGAACGCUGGCGGCGUGCUUAACACAUGCAAGUCGAACGGAAAGGCCCUGCUUUUGUGGGGUGCUCGAGUGGCGAACGGGUGAGUAACACGUGAGUAACCUGCCCUUGACUUUGGGAUAACUUCAGGAAACUGGGGCUAAUACCGGAUAGGAGCUCCUGCUGCAUGGUGGGGGUUGGAAAGUUUCGGCGGUUGGGGAUGGACUCGCGGCUUAUCAGCUUGUUGGUGGGGUAGUGGCUUACCAAGGCUUUGACGGGUAGCCGGCCUGAGAGGGUGACCGGCCACAUUGGGACUGAGAUACGGCCCAGACUUCUACGGGAGGCAGCAGUGGGGAAUAUUGCACAAUGGGCGGAAGCCCGAUGCAGCAACGCCGCGUGCGGGAUGACGGCCUUCGGGUUGUAAACCGCUUUCGCCUGUGACGAAGCGUGAGUGACGGUAAUGGGUAAAGAAGCACCGGCUAACUACGUG
rnacentral:rRNA from 1 species